AGCAGCCGCGGUAAUUCCAGCUCCAAUAGCGUAUAUUAAAGUUGUUGCAGUUAAAAAGCUCGUAGUUGAAUUUCGGGGUCAGCAAGUUGGUCGUGCCACUGGUAUGCACUGGCUUUGCUGAUUCCUCCUUCUUGUAGAACCGUAAUGCCAUUAAGUUGGUGUUGCGGGGAAACAGGACUGUUACUUUGAAAAAAUUAGAGUGUUUAAAGCAGGCUAACGCUUGAAUACAUUAGCAUGGAAUAAUGAAAUAGGACGACGAUCCUAUUUUGUUGGUUUCUAGGAUUGACGUAAUGAUUAAUAGGGAUAGUUGGG
rnacentral:rRNA from 1 species